GGAGGGAUGGCAGAGCGGUCGAUUGCGCCGGUUUCGAAAACCGGAGGACGUGAAAGCGUCCCGUGGGUUCGAACCCCACUCCCUCCGCCA
rnacentral:tRNA from 1 species